GGAGAGUUGGCAGAGUGGUUGAAUGCGGCGGUCUUGAAAACCGUUGAAGGUGCAAGCCUUCCCGGGGUUCGAAUCCCUGACUCUCCG
rnacentral:tRNA from 1 species